rnacentral:rRNA from 1 species
GACGAACGCUGGCGGCGUGCUUAACACAUGCAAGUCGAACGGAAAGGCCCUGCUUUUGUGGGGUGCUCGAGUGGCGAACGGGUGAGUAACACGUGAGUAACCUGCCCUUGACUUUGGGAUAACUUCAGGAAACUGGGGCUAAUACCGGAUAGGAGCUCCUGCUGCAUGGUGGGGGUUGGAAAGUUUCGGCGGUUGGGGAUGGACUCGCGGCUUAUCAGCUUAUUGGUGGGGUAGUGGCUUACCAAGGCUUUGACGGGUAGCCGGCCUGAGAGGGUGACCGGCCACAUUGGGACUGAGAUACGGCCCAGACUCCUACGGGAGGCAGCUGUGGGGAAUAUUGCACAAUGGGCGGAAGCCUGAUGCAGCAACGCCGCGUGCGGGAUGACGGCCUUCGGGUUGUAAACCGCUUUCGCCUGUGACGAAGCGUGAGUGACGGUAAUGGGUAAAGAAGCACCGGCUAACUACGUG